rnacentral:lncRNA from 1 species
GGCAGAGCCUGGGGAAGAGGGCAGACCAGUCUGUGCAGGACCGUGCUCUGACCUCUGGGAUGGGCUCUCCCUGGAGAUGUGGCCUCCAGGUCCAGCCUUUCACUGCACCACUCUUCUCUGUGCAUGCCUUCAGACACACAGUGCACAACAAAGGAAAUUAAGGCCUUAACAGAGCUAAGAAAUGCAGUAUUGAGGACACUGGAGAGUGGAAUCUUCCAGAAAGCAGCCAAGUGCUGAGAGAAGAAGAGAAAUAAGCAGGCCUAAGUAUAGAUCUUUUAAUGAACCUGAAGUACUUAACCAAGCCAUCAAAACUAGGAUCCUCAUUACUGUAAAUCCUGGAGAAGAACUUCCAAAGGCUGCUUCCUUCUGCUGUAGGUUUCAGGUACUGCUUCAGAUUGCUCUUUACAUCCACUGACAGUACUGAGCCAGUCUGAGCCAGCUCCAUGGGAUGGCUUUCUGUGGGGGUGUUGGUGUCAGGAAACUGAACAGAACCGGGAAAGAAGAGCAGUGGAGGAUUCGGGCAGAGAAAUGAGGGAUCCAUUAA